UGGUCAUCAAAUGAUAAUGGUUCAAAGGACAAUUCUGGUCUUGAUUUUACUCUGGAGUCUACCCAGCCUUAUUCUGCCUAUUUGUCAAUGCUGCUUCUGUAGAAUAUUCUUCUGGUGAUAACUCCAUGUCUGACAUGGAGACUGCGAGACGGAAAACCUUGCCCGUCUGGAUUAGGGAAGGAUUGGAGAAAAUGGAGCGUCAAAAAAAGAGGAAAGAAGAAGAGGCUCGACUAGCCGAAGAAAAAGAAGAACAAAGGAAACGUUUACUUGAACAGCAAGAAGCCAACGCAGCAGUUGAGGAAUCUGCAUCGGAACCAAACAACUCUAAAUGGAACGAGUCUGAAUCUCUGCCUAACGAUGAAGAUUCCGCUGCCGACGACGAAGGCGAAAACGACGACGACAACCACAAUGAAGCCGGUUACCAUAAUAAGCGGAACAAUAAUGUCAAGAAGGAACAACCAACGUUGGCAAGUGUGCUGAAAAACUUACCUCCAGACGAGCGAGAAGAUGCUAUUGCAAGUUUUCACAAUUUUCUUUUUACAUAUUCUAUUUUACACAUUAUAUUUCAACUUGAUUCACUUCAAAUGGCUCAACAUAAUAACAAUACAGGUUGUUUUUAUUUUGUUUUAUGAAAUCUUAGAUGUACGCUAUUCGCCGAGUUAGCACAUCCGUAUUGGUUACCGUGACCAAUGCGAUGAUCCUUGAUGCCGCGACAACUGCUUAUAAUCGAGCUAAAAGUCGUAAGAAAGUGACUUCUUCCACCAUUCAAAUCCAGAAGACGAGUGCCCUCGCGUCAAUUGCUGGGGGAUUUGGUAAGAUUUGUUUUCAAUCAGCUUUCGCAAAUGGGUUGAAUUAGUACACAGCCCGUUUCCACCUUAUAUUUCUGCCAAUAAUAAGAAAACAACUUAUAUUACUGGCAUUUCCUCCUUGUGCUUGUCAGUGUUUAGCCUUGACAUAUAAAUCGGUCACUUGUUAAUGAUAAAUACUGAAAAUAAUACUGGGCCUCGGUGGAUAUGGAUCAGACUCGGAGGAAUCUAACGCAUCUAGCAAAUCUAAUAAAGGAUCUGCUGAUGAGGAGGAGGAUGACAGAAAUAGUGCCGACUCUGAUGAGGAACUUUUGGCUCAAAUUGAAAGGAAGAAAAGGAAUUGGGAGUUACAAAAGUUGGAGUUGAACCAUCACUCACGCUCAAGAUCUUCGUCUGUUGUUGAUACUGAGGAAAGUUCUGGCUGGUUUCAAAAUU